AUGUCAUUUCCAAGAAGACUUCCUUAACUACCCAGUCAUUCUCUCUUACCCCAUUCUAUUUUAAUUAACCUGCAUUGCACUUACCACCAUCUAUUUGUUUGCUUAUUUAUUGUCCACUCCCCUCAUCAGAAUAUCUGUUGUAGUCUUAGUGUUUAGAACAAUGCUUAGCAAAGAGUAGAUGCUCAACAGAUAUUGCUUGAAUGAAUGACUCAUAGAUGGGGACUAUGAUGCUAUGUAACACCAUACACAAGGAUAUGAGUAAAUCUACCACCCCAAAUAAAUCGCAGAGCCCAUCAGAACUCAGUAAAGUUUAGUCCAAUUGUUCAAUUUUGCUCAGGCUUCCUCAGUCCUCUCACAGUCACAUGGAUUUUCAGGAUGUUUUCUUACUCUACUCCUCCACUCAUGCACCACACAAAAUCAUUCAUACUUUUUUUGACAGAAGAAUAUACUUGAUGAUUAAAACAAACAAAAAAGUUAAUUUUGCCUGAAGAUAUGCACAUAAUGUUAACCAUUUAAAAAGAUUCAAUUUACUUACUUCAUCCCAUUCUAAUACAAAGUUUUGGAUUUUAGAACCAUUGUCACUAGGUGCCUAAAACCAACACCAAAAAACAAAAUGAAAACAAAUUAGUACAUUCAUAAAUGAUAU
rnacentral:lncRNA from 1 species